UAGGGAGACCUAUUUAUGUCUAGACUGAACCAAUACAGAAUUAGGUCAGACAUAAGUCAUCCCAAGGUCGUUCGAGAUUUAUUGGAAAGCUUUCAAACUAAGUCAGGUUCUAAAUUUGGCUAACAAAAAGGGCCAUUAGCUCAGUUGGUUAGAGCGCACCCCUGAUAAGGGUGAGGUCACUGGUUCGUGUCCAGUAUGGCCCACUUGAGAAAAGGCAAAAGGAGAAAGGGAAAAGGAAAAAACACAAACAAAAGUUUUUACUUUUUACUUUAAACUUUUUAAUUGGACUCUGGGGAUAUAGCUCAGUUGGUAGAGCGCCUGCUUUGCACGCAGGAAGUCAGGAGUUCGAAUCUCCUUAUCUCCACCAAACUACUAACAAAGACCAACAAAAGCAAAAGCAAGAGUUUAGCAACUCAUCUAGUUAGGGAAAACCUAAACAACUAGAGA
rnacentral:tRNA from 1 species